GUAGCGGCGAGUGAAGCGGCAAUAGCUCAAAUUUGAAAUCUGGCGUCUUCGGCGUCCGAGUUGUAAUUUGAAGAAGGUAUCUUUGGUUUUGGCUCUUGUCUAUGUUCCUUGGAACAGGACGUCACAGAGGGUGAGAAUCCCGUGCGAUGAGAUGCCCAAUUCCAUGUAAAGUUCCUUCGACGAGUCGAGUUGUUUGGGAAUGCAGCUCUAAGUGGGUGGUAAAUUCCAUCUAAAGCUAAAUAUUGGCGAGAGACCGAUAGCGAACAAGUACUGUGAAGGAAAGAUGAAAAGAACUUUGAAAAGAGAGUGAAAAAGUACGUGAAAUUGUUGAAAGGGAAGGGCUUGAGGUCAGACUUGGUUUUACCAGGCCAGCAUCAGUUUGGAUGGCAGGAUAAUAGCUAAGGAAAGUGGCACCACUUCGGUGGUGUGUUAUAGCCUUGGUUGAUACUGCCUGUCUAGACUGAGGACUGCGUCUUUGACUAGGAUGCUGGCAUAAUGACCUUAAGCCGCCCG
rnacentral:rRNA from 1 species